GUACUCUCACACUCUAAUUCAUUUUGGAGAAGUGGACUUGGGUGUUGCUGCUUUGCGGUGGCUCAUCUGAAAUAGGGUAGUGCACCUCCUGGUUGGAUAUAGUACAGCGUGAUAAGUAUCUUCGCUGGCGCCUCAUAAAGAGGGUGUCCGAUUGGGGGCUCUGUGCUUCAAACGGUCCCGUACUCUGGGACAAUCUCUGACA
rnacentral:misc_RNA from 1 species